rnacentral:lncRNA from 1 species
GUUGCAGCAAAUGAUCGCCUGUUGCAAUCCACGCUAUCCAGCGGGGUCAACCGGAUACAGAAUUUUCGCGGCACUCAUGGCCGCCAGUCGUCUGCAUGUGGGCCUGAGAUGGCUUCGGCAUAAAAGUUAGGCUCUGAAUCCCAGCAGAUACUGCAGCAAUGAUUCGGCCUGUAGCACUACAACCAGGUACACUCCGUCACCACUCGCCAGGACGUUUGCAUUUCCUAACUGAAUACCGAGCCCCCAGCAUUUCCACAUCAGGGUGUGUCUCACUGCACACUAGCACUGCUGGAAGGUCCAGCCCCAGCCAGCGCCCCCUCGCCACACAAAUGCGGCGGUCCCUCACUGACGAUAUUGUCUUGUGUCCAUUCGCCAGCCCUAGGCAGCGACCGCUCACCAGGCAAACUAGUGUGCAACCCUCGUCGGCAUCGGACCCUGUUGAGGAAACGGUCCUCUCCCAACUCGUGUGGAUUUGACCCCGGGUCUGCGCCUGACUAAUGGGGAAGACUUACUCCAGAACCUUAUGGGGCUACCGAUGCAUAUCCGGUAGCUAAGUGAUAGACAUUAGGGCACCGUCUGGACGGCGCAGUGAGAUCGCGGAAUGUACGUGCAGUUAGAUCGCGGAAUGUACGAGUUUUCCGCUAGCACCGGUAUUUAGGGCGGUGACUGCGCCUAUUUGUUUAUCUCACAACGAUCGGUAUUCCUACCAGGAAUCUCCUCAAGUCCUGCCGAACGCUAACAAUACUCUUUACAUUACUUGUAACAGUUUAUCGUGCUAAAUAUCUUCGCCACCGGCAAUCCUUCCGGAAUAACAAUUAGCGUUAGCUGUCACCGUCGCCAAUUCUUCAAUAGGUUAUGAGCCCCGACCUCUCGUGGUUCGUCAUUGCGUGCUUUAUUAGCAGUUGCCGCAGCCCGGAACAUGACGGUACAUCAGCUCGAUGUGUCUACUGCGUUUCUGUAAUGUAAUGUAAUGUGAGCUGAA